UCACUCUGCUGACCCAUGACUCCACACCAUCACACAGCACCAAUCUCUUCAUUAAGUUUGCGGACGACACGACUG